rnacentral:rRNA from 1 species
CUCGUAGGCGGUCUUGUACGGCGGUGGUAAAAGCUCCCGGCUCAACUGGGAGAGGCCCGUCGCAACGGCGAGACUUGAGGUUGGUAGAGGCAGAUGGAAUUCCUGGUGUAGCGGUGAAAUGCGUAGAGAUCAGGAGGAACACCCAUGGCGAAGGCAGUCUGCUGGGCCACACCUGACGCUGAGGAGCGAAAGCCGAGGGGAGUGAACG